rnacentral:rRNA from 1 species
AGCAGCCAUCCUUUAAAGAAAGCGUAACAGCUCACUGGUCAAGCGCUCCUGCGCGGAAAAUGUAACGGGGCUUAAGUGAUACACCGAAGCUGCGGGCUCGAAAGAGCGGUAGCGGAGCGUUCUGUAAGCCGUUGAAGGGAGACCCGCGAGGGCUCCUGGAGGUAUCAGAAGUGAGAAUGCUGACAUGAGUAGCGAUAAAGAGUGUGAGAGACACUCUCGCCGAAAGUCCAAGGGUUCCUGCGCAAUGCUAAUCAGCGCAGGGUUAGCCGGCCCCUAAGGCGAGGCCGAAAGGCGUAGUCGAUGGGAACCAGGUUAAUAUUCCUGGGCCACCGGGUAGUGACGGAUGCCGGACUUUGUCCAUCCUUAUUGGAUUGGGUGGGCAAUAAAGGCGUCCCUGGAAAUAGCUCCCGGAAUAAGACCGUACCCCAAACCGACACAGGU